rnacentral:rRNA from 1 species
UACGGAGGGUGCAAACGUUGCUCGGAAUCAUUGGGCGUAAAGCGCACGUAGGCGGCCUGUUAAGUCGGGUGUGAAAGCCCUGGGCUCAACCCAGGAAGUGCACUCGAAACUGGCGGGCUUGAAUAUGGAAGAGGGUCGCGGAAUUCCCGGUGUAGAGGUGAAAUUCGUAGAUAUCCGGAGGAACACCAAAGGCGAAGGCAGUGUCCUGGGGAGUACCUGACGCUCAGGUGCGAAAGCCAGGGGAGCGAACGGG